rnacentral:rRNA from 1 species
CCUACGGGUGGCAGCAGUGAGGAAUAUUGGUCAAUGGCCGAGAGGCUGAACCAGCCAAGUCGCGUGAGGGAAGACGGCCCUACGGGUUGUAAACUUCUUUUGUCAGGGAGCAAUUGGGUCCACGCGUGGGCUUAGCGAGAGUACCUGAAGAAAAAGCAUCGGCUAACUCCGUGCCAGCAGCCGCGGUAAUACGGAGGUUGCGAGCGUUAUCCUGAUUUAGUGGGUUUAAAGGGAGCGUAGGUGGAUUGUUAAGUCAGUUGUGAAAGUGUGCGGCUCAAACGUAAAAUUGCAGUUGAAACUGGCAGUCUUGAGUACAGUAGAGGUGGGCGGAAUUCGUGGUGUAGCGGUGAAAUGCUUAGAUAUCACGAAGAACUCCGAUGGCGAAGGCAGUUCACUGGACUGCAACUGACACUGAGGCUCGAAAGUGUGGGUAUCAAACAGGAUUAGAUACCCCAGUAGUC